rnacentral:rRNA from 1 species
UACGAAGGGGGCUAGCGUUGCUCGGAAUUACUGGGCGUAAAGGGAGCGUAGGCGGAUAGUUUAGUCAGAGGUGAAAGCCCAGGGCUCAACCUUGGAAUUGCCUUUGAUACUGGCUAUCUUGAGUACGGAAGAGGUAUGUGGAACUCCGAGUGUAGAGGUGAAAUUCGUAGAUAUUCGCAAGAACACCAGUGGCGAAGGCGGCUCACUGGCCCGGUACUGACGCUGAGGCACGAAAGCGUGGGGAGCAAACAGG